AGCUUUGCACAGUGGCAGUAUCAUAGCCAAUGAGGUUUAUCCGAGGCGCGAUUAUUGCUAUAAGUGACUGUCUAAAUAUUUUUACCCUCUGUAACACAC
rnacentral:snRNA from 1 species